rnacentral:rRNA from 1 species
CCUACGGGGUGCAGCAGUGGGGGAUAUUGCACAAUGGGGGAAACCCUGAUGCAGCGACGCCGCGUGAGUGAAGAAGUAUUUCGGGAUGUAAAGCUCUAUCAGCAGGGAAGAAAAUGACAGUAACUGACCAAGAAGCCCCGGCUAACUACGUGCCAGCAGCCGCGGUAAUACGUAGGGGGCAAGCGUUAUCCGGAUUUACUGGGUGUAAAGGGAGCGUAGACGGUUAUGUAAGUCUGGAGUGAAAGCCCGUGGCUCAACCCCGGAACUGCUUUGGAAACUGUGUAACUGGAGUGCAGUAGGGGCAGGCGGAAUUCCUGGUGUAGCGGUGAAAUGCGUAGAUAUCAGGAGGAACACCGGUGGCGAAGGCGGCCUGCUGGACUGAAACUGACGUUGAGGCUCGAAAGCGUGGGGAGCAAACAGGAUUAGAUACCCGAGUAGUC